GGCCGUUUGCCCAAUCAGAGGUUGAGACGUCACACUUCCGGUCUGUCUCCUAUGGCCCCAGUCAGCCAGCAGCUCUCUGUUUGUCCACCGACAUGCUGACGGUCGGACGCUUCGUGUGAGCAGCAGAUAACUAAAAUUCCCUCUAUGGCUUCUGGAGCGGGUCCGAGAGCGACGGACACAGCCGGCAGCGACUUCCAGCACCGGGUCGCUUCACCCGACCAGAUGAGGUCCGUUCUUUUUGCUGUUCCAGUCUCAACCCUCAGAGGGAAGUGAGACUCUGAGAAACAUCAGAUCCACCUGCCUCAUAGGUCUGCAGAUGAUCAUUUUUGCUACUUUUUAGAAGUGAAGUGUUUUGUGCUUAGCUUUAGCAUCCAGUGCUAGUACCUGUCUGAUAUCAUGAAAUAAAAACACCAUGUUUGAUUCAGUUGUUUUUAUUGAGCCAGAAUGUUGAGAUGUGCAGUUUGAUCCUUUGAUGCAUUUCAUGGAAGAGAUAAAUUAGCUUCAUUUCUAAUGUGUUCCAAAAAUACUGUGGCAUUUAAGUUGAUAAUUGUUUGACAAAGUGAAAUAAAGGUCACAGCUGA